AUUGGAAACGAUCGCUAAUACCGGAUAGGACGAAAGUUUAAAGGUGCUUCGGCACCACUGAUGGAUGAGCCUGCGGCGCAUUAGCUAGUUGGUAGGGUAAAGGCCUACCAAGGCGACGAUGCGUAGCCGACCUGAGAGGGUGAACGGCCACACUGGGACUGAGACACGGCCCAGACUCCUACGGGAGGCAGCAGUAGGGAAUCUUCGGCAAUGGGCGAAAGCCUGACCGAGCAACGCCGCGUGAAUGAUGAAGGCCUUCGGGUUGUAAAAUUCUGUUAUAAGGGAAGAAUGGCUCUAGUAGGAAAUGGCUAGAGUGUGACGGUACCUUAUGAGAAAGCCACGGCUAACUACGUGCCAGCAGCCGCGGUAAUACGUAGGUGGCGAGCGUUAUCCGGAAUUAUUGGGCGUAAAGAGCGCGCAGGUGGUUGAUUAAGUCUGAUGUGAAAGCCCACGGCUUAACCGUGGAGGGUCAUUGGAAACUGGUCAACUUGAGUGCAGAAGAGGGAAGUGGAAUUCCAUGUGUAGCGGUGAAAUGCGUAGAUAUAUGGAGGAACACCAGUGGCGAAGGCGACGAUCUGGCCUGCAACUGACGCUCAGUCCCGAAAGCGUGGGGAGCAAAUAGGAUUAGAUACCCUAGUAGUCCACGCCGUAAACGAUGAGUACUAAGUGUUGGAUGUCAAAGUUCAGUGCUGCAGUUAACGCAAUAAGUACUCCGCCUGAGUAGUACGUUCGCAAGAAUGAAACUCAAAGGAAUUGACGGGGGCCCGCACAAGCGGUGGAGCAUGUGGUUUAAUUCGAAGCAACGCGAAGAACCU
rnacentral:rRNA from 1 species